ensembl:lncRNA
CGAAGACUCUGAUUGCUAUCAGGUCCCUCAACACACAUCUAGUCUGGUAGUCAUUUAGCACAGAACCACAGUGUAAGUUAGCGAAUGAAGAUCCAGGAAGACCAUAAAUAGCUACAUUUGGAAAGUGCUAUACAUGAUCAUGAGAUCUACAUGGAAUUGAACAGACCAGCAUCAUCACGUGGUUGGCAUACAUACUCUCUCCCAUACAUGGAAAGUAGACAAACAGUAUCAGUAGAAAAGAGAGAAGUGAAAUCACCUACUUCCAGUGCACAGGAGCAGCUAAAGCAGGAAGAUGCAAUUCAGCAGGACUGAAAAGACCUUGAGAGUUCUAUCUUUGUCGCUGUUCCCUUGGUUCCCCCCACAAUUUUCUGAACUAUUAAGAAAAAUAUCAUGGAAAUUUUCAAUGACCAAAGCGAGGUAAAAAAAUCUGCUAUCAAAUUGUGAGGAUACCAGUAGAGAAACAUCUGUUUGACGAGUUUUGUCUCUAGAUGCUGAUAUAUAUUUUUUUUAACUGAAAGUCAUGCUUAUCUAUAGUGACAGUGAUAUGUUGUUCACUGUUUAGAGAUUGCUCAUGAUAAAAUGAAAAGGGUUUUGUGAGUUUCUGCUGUCUCACCUUGAUCUUUAUUUGUGUCAGAAUU